UACGAAGGAUCCAAGCGUUAUCCGGAUUUAUUGGGUUUAAAGGGUGCGUAGGCGGGCUGUUAAGUCAGUGGUGAAAUCCUGCAGCUUAACUGUAGAAUUGCCAUUGAUACUGAUAGUCUUGAGUACACUUGAGGUGGGCGGAAUGUGUCAUGUAGCGGUGAAAUGCUUAGAUAUGACACAGAACACCGAUUGCGAAGGCAGGCUACUAGGACAUGAUUGACACUGAGGCACGAGAGCAUGGGGAUCAAACAGG
rnacentral:rRNA from 1 species